GCUGUCCUUCAUGACAACGGAACUUCAACAAUGACUUUGAUCAUGAGCUUCUUGUGGAUUUUGAUGUUCUUAAUUCAGGAAUCCAGAGGACAUGUCACUGUGACUCAGACUCCUGCAGUGAAAACUGUUCUCCCAGAACAGCCAGCUGUUAUAAACUGUAAAACCAGUACAAAUGUAGCAGAUGGUUGUCCUGGGGAUUACACCUGUAUGGCCUGGUACCAACAGAAACCUGGAGGAGCUCCUAAACUCCUGAUGCACUCUUCAAACAGACUUCAGUCUGGGACUCCAUCUAGAUUCAGUGGCAGUGGAUCUCAUACGGACUUCACUCUGACCAUCAGUGGAGUCCAGGCUGAAGAUGCAGGAGAUUACUACUGUCAGAGUUUCCACUAUCCCAACAGUGUCAGGGUGUUCACACAGUGAUACAGAGUCGUACAAAAACCUCCCUCAGUCAGACUGCACAGUGACUGUACUGCUACAGCUGGGACCUACUGCAGGUACUGAGGGGAGGAGAUGAUCCAGUACAAUGACACAGUGUGUAGUAGAGCUGAACAACAAUAGAGUCAAACUAGAGCUGUGUCUAGAAGACUUUAGAUCAUAACUGAUCACUAAAUGUUUCUCCUGACCAUUAACUACAUGUUGACUCUGUUGAGUAACUCAAGGAAAACCGUUCACACUAAGACUGCAGUUACUGACCCUGACCACUCGGGGGAGAAUUAGAGCAGACAGUGUCUGGUCUAAUAACACAGUAAUAACAAUAUGCUCCAUUUGUAGAUGUCUACAAUCAAUAUAUCAGUCCGCAUUCAGCACUUCAAUCAGACACCAUGUCAGGGAUUAAAUAGUUAUCAUGUUUCUACAUCACACAACAUUUAUUAAUAAAAUCUGACUGUCCAGGAAGACUAUUUAAGUGAAAAGGCCAGAGGAGGUAUUGUAUAUGACCAAUAUACCAUGGCCAAAGGCUGAACUUAAGCACGACUCAACGCGGAGUGU